ACCUUAUCUGAUGCGUGUGGACUGGUUGGAUAAGGAUUGCUCUCAGGCUACCUCGCUCUUGUCAUCAUGGGUUGCUCGUCGUCGAACCUCACCGCUGCCAGCGCAAGCCACCGCAGCUCUCCGCCCUAGCUUGCCCACGCCUGUGCGAGCAACCGUAGCUCCCCGACGGUGCUCACCCACGUUGAUGCCCGAGCGAGCCACUUCGACUCGCCGCCGGUUCUCGUCCACGUCUGCAGGCGCCGGCGCAGUUCAUCCUCGCCUCGCGGAUGCCUGCGCUAGAUACUGCAGCUCGCUGCGGGUUCUCCCCCACGCCUGCGCGCGAUAGCGCAGCUCUCUGCGGGUGCUUGCCAUCCCCGCGGCUCAUUGGCGCAGCUCGCCCUCCCCUGCUGGAGAAGUGUUCUAGUGGCAAGGGUUGUGCUGAAUAGAAGACGAUGCCUUGUGCAGGUCCUGAACAAGUGGCGUGAUGGCAGCAGCGGCCGGAGGAGGAGAUGGAUGCGUGUGUAGGUCCUGAAGAUGUUGAAUGCAAGCAACAUGUAAGUCACGUUUGUUGUAAUCUUUUGCUUGAUUAUGGAUUGCGAUUUGGAAAUUACAUGAAGAAUAGCAUGUCACGUUUAGUUUCACAGCCAGGAUCAAAUGAGCGACAAUAUGACAAAUGAGUAAUAUUGCAAAUUUUAUUCCAUAAGCUACUUGCUGCAAUCUGUUUUGUUGCACUUGUUGUAGCUUAUUCAAAGGCAGCAAUGGAAUUGUAGGUAGAAGUGGCACAAGUAUGUAGCCCUCCGUACAUUGGCAAGGGACACUUCAACCAUGAUUCAUAGAUGAAUCUGAAUUCACAUCUCCCCAAAAAAGUAAGGAGUUCACAUAAUGAUUUCAUAAAUAAAACUAAAAUGAGUUCACAAUGCCAAAUAUAUAUGAGCUCCCGGCUAAUAUAAGCUCACGGCUCAGAGCAAUUGAAGAAAUUGAGUUCAAAUAGAAGAAAACUACUUAAUGAAAUAAGUCUGGAACUUGCUGACAGGAACUUGAUUUAUGUUUAAUAAUAUGGCGCGGCUGUGUGCAUCAUUUGAUGUAGAGGCCGGGGUAAUCCCCUUUUCGAAAAUAAAGUAAGUAUAACAUCAAUUUCAUAGAGACCAAUCAUCCAAUUUGUAGCUUUCUCUUUGAUGUAAGCUUCUUUCCUGGAUAUGUGGGGUUUGGAAUGAGACUAAUGUUAGACAGUCCAAUAAGCGGUAUGUGAUAGUAGGCCUUCUCUGUGUCAACGGGCAAUAUUAAACUCAUCUUUGUCUAGGGGGACAGUUCAGUAACUUAGAGACGUACUAAACAUUUUUCUCCUCAGAAAAGAAAUUCCCCACUCCACAAACAGUUCUUCUUCUUCCAGGUUGGUGCAUUGACGGAGUCAAUACACUGGUACAACCCCAGCAUGGAAGAUACACAUUACUUCAUAUUUCUUGCUGUAAUUUUAGUGGUGACUUCCGGGCAAAGCCAGGGCGGCUGCCUGACAUUGUGGGGUCGAUUAACAUCUACCACUGAGUCGCUGGAUCUACCUAUUAUUACUUUCAAUCCAGUAGUAGAGCACCCUGACUCAUUCAGCUCAGUAAGCAUCCUUUGUUGGACGUGGAGUUUCUGCACCCGAGCUCAUAUGAGCUCGGGUGAACAGUAAAAUCGAAAAAAAAUCAAAAAAAUUUCAAAAAAUUCCAAUUUUUUUUGGCUAGAAACAUUGACAAAAGUUUUAAGUGCUUGCAAAAAUUCGUCAUGAAAUCACAUUUCUAGAAGGCGUGGCAAAAAAAAAACAAAAUCGGUACUCUGAAAAUGCUACUUUCAAAAGCAUUUUGGAGGCUGGAUUUGUUUUUUUUUGCCACGCCUUACAGGAAUGUGAUUUCAUGAUGAAUUUUUGCAAGCACUUAGAACUUUUGUCAAUGUUUCUCUGAGAUUUUUUUUGGAAUUUUUUGAAUUUUUUUUUGAUUUUACUGUUCACCGAGCUCAAAUGAGCUCGGGAGCAGAAAGGCACUUUCGUCCUUUGUUCUCUUUCUUUUGGUUGGUUGAAUCAUUUGAUUCCACUUUGUUUCCAUCGCAAAUAAAAAUUACCACCAAUUAAAUCGACUCGUGGUGAUAAUAUAUGUGAUCAAUUUAUGUUUGUCAUCCUCGUGUUCUUGUACGAUUAACAUCCAUCAUCUGUUUUUGGAAUAAAGAAAUGUAACUACUCUAUAUAUACUUUUCUAUCAGUUAGUCUAAUUGUUUAGCAUCCGUAGCAAUGAGUGACAGAGUUUUCUAUUUAAUUAAAUAGCUAACUUUUUUUCCUGAUAGACCGCAAUGUUAUCUCUACUGAGAUUAUUUGAGCAAAUUGUUUCUUGUUAUCCAAAAAAUAUUGCCACCAUGGCUAUACAGUAAUAAAAUGAAUUUAUUCAUUGUUGCAGAGAGAACUGUCCAACACUACUUUCUUGUCAAUUUUUGCAUGUCCAGCCUUCUCGGAAGAUGGCAUUAGGCAGUUUACUUUCUCAUGGAGACCACUUCUGAUGCUACCUAGAUUGGCCGAUCUACUUUUUUCAUCAUUGACACUACUAUCCAUUUCAUGAGGAAGCACUUGGCAUAUCUGCUGUAGGAUCACAA
rnacentral:lncRNA from 1 species